rnacentral:rRNA from 1 species
UACGUAGGGUGCAAGCGUUAAUCGGAAUUACUGGGCGUAAAGCGUGCGCAGGCGGUUCUAUAAGACAGAUGUGAAAUCCCCGGGCUCAACCUGGGAACUGCAUUUGUGACUGUAGAGCUGGAGUACGGCAGAGGGGGAUGGAAUUCCGCGUGUAGCAGUGAAAUGCGUAGAUAUGCGGAGGAACACCGAUGGCGAAGGCAAUCCCCUGGGCCUGUACUGACGCUCAUGCACGAAAGCGUGGGGAGCGAACAGG